AUUGAACGCUGGCGGAAUGCUUUACACAUGCAAGUCGAACGGCAGCACGGACUUCGGUCUGGUGGCGAGUGGCGAACGGGUGAGUAACAUAUCGGAACGUAUCCAAUAAUGGGGGAUAACGAGUCGAAAGAUUCGCUAAUACCGCAUACGCCCUACGGGGGAAAGCUGGGGACCUUCGGUCCUGGCGUUAAUGGAACGGCCUAUAUCUGAUUAGCUAGUUGGUGAGGUAAAGGCCCACCAAGGCGACGAUCAGUAGCUGGUCUGAGAGGACGACCAGCAACACUGGAACUGAGACACGGUCCAGACUCCUACGGGAGGCAGCAGUGGGGAAUUUUGGACAAUGGGCGCAAGCCUGAUCCAGCCAUUCCGCGUGAGUGAAGAAGGCCUUCGGGUUGUAGAGCUCUUUCGCAAGGGAAGAAAACUUAGCCACUAACAUUGGUUGAGGUUGACGGUACCUUGAUAAGAAGCACCGGCUAACUACGUGCCAGCCGCCGCGGUAA
rnacentral:rRNA from 1 species